rnacentral:rRNA from 1 species
GACGAACGCUGGCGGCGUGCUUAACACAUGCAAGUCGAACGGUAAGGCCCUUCGGGGUACACGAGUGGCGAACGGGUGAGUAACACGUGGGUGAUCUGCCCUGCACUUCGGGAUAAGCCUGGGAAACUGGGUCUAAUACCGGAUAGGACUCCGGAAUGCAUGGUCGGGGGUGGAAAGCUUUUGUGGUGUGGGAUGGGCCCGCGGCCUAUCAGCUUGUUGGUGGGGUGAUGGCCUACCAAGGCGACGACGGGUAGCCGGCCUGAGAGGGUGACCGGCCACACUGGGACUGAGAUACGGCCCAGACUCCUACGGGAGGCAGCAGUGGGGAAUAUUGCACAAUGGGCGCAAGCCUGAUGCAGCGACGCCGCGUGAGGGAUGACGGCCUUCGGGUUGUAAACCUCUUUCAGCACAGACGAAGCGCAAGUGACGGUAUGUGCAGAUGAAGGACCGGCCAACUACGUGCCAGCAGCCGCAGUAA